rnacentral:rRNA from 1 species
GGGGAAUAUUGGACAAUGGGCGCAAGCCUGAUCCAGCAAUGCCGCGUGCAGGAUGAAGGCCUUCGGGUUGUAAACUGCUUUUGUACAGAACGAAACGCCUCCCUCCAAUACAGGGGGGUGAUGACGGUACCGUAAGAAGAAGCACCGGCUAACUACGUGCCAGCAGCCGCGGUAAUACGUAGGGUGCAAGCGUUAAUCGGAAUUACUGGGCGUAAAGCGUGCGCAGGCGGUUUUGUAAGACAGUGGUGAAAUCCCCGGGCUCAACCUGGGAACUGCCAUUGUGACUGCAAGGCUGGAGUGCGGCAGAGCGGGAUGGAAUUCCGCGUGUAGCAGUGAAAUGCGUAGAUAUGCGGAGGAACACCGAUGGCGAAGGCAACCCCCUGGGUCGAUACUGACGCUCAUGCACGAAAGCGUGGGGAGCAAACA